rnacentral:sRNA from 1 species
UGUUGCUUGAGAAAUGGCGAUGAUCGAAUUGGAGUUUGGAAGACAGAAUUUUCAUCCAUUAAAGAAGAAGAGUCCAUUACUGUUGAAACUCAUAGCUGUUGUCUUUGCUGUGCUUUUAUUUUGUGAAUUUUUAAUCUAUUACUUAGCGAUCUUUCAGUGUAAUUGGCCUGAAGUGAAAACCACAGCCUCUGAUGGUGAACAGGCCACACGUGAGCCUGUGCUCAAAGCCAUGUUUUUGGCUGACACCCAUUUGCUUGGGGAAGUCCUAGGCCACUGGCUGGACAAAUUAAGAAGGGAAUGGCAGAUGGAGAGAGCCUUCCAGACAGCUCUGUGGUUGCUGCAGCCGGAAGUUGUCUUCAUCCUGGGGGAUAUCUUUGAUGAAGGGAAGUGGAGCACCCCUGAGGCCUGGGUGAAUGAUGUGGAGCGAUUUCAGAAAAUGUUCAGACACCCAAGUCAUGUACAGCUGAAGGUAGUUGCUGGAAACCAUGACAUUGGCUUCCAUUAUGAGAUGAACACAUACAAAGUAGAACGCUUUGAGAAAGUGUUCAGCUCUGAAAGACUGUUUUCUUGGAAAGGCAUUAACUUCGUGAUGGUCAACAGCGUGGCGCUGAACGGGGACGGCUGUGGCAUCUGCUCUGAAACAGAAGCAGAGCUCAUUGAAGUCUCUCACAGACUGAACUGCUCCCGAGAGGUAGGAGAGCAUCUGAAUGCCACAGGUGCCUUCUGUCCCGUGUCGCUCCGCUUUGGUUGCUCACUCAGCCCCCCAGCUCUUCUUGCCCUUUGAUGAGGGUCAGGUGUGUGGAUUAAUGGCCUGACUUGUACCCAGCAGGCACGUGGCUCCAGCCGGUGUGGACCCGGGCCUCUGCUGCCCAUGUCUGCCCCCGUCCUCCUGCAGGUGAGCUGGGGGAAGAAAGGGCUCAUGGCAGACAGCAGGCAGCCCGUGGUUUCACGAUAGCCGCCUGAACUCCUCUCUCCACCCCGGACAGCAUUAUCCUCUGUAUCGGAGAAGUGAUGCUAACUGUUCUGGGGAAGACGCUGCUCCUCCAGAGGAAAGGGACAUCCCAUUUAAGGAGAACUAUGACGUGCUUUCACGGGAGGCAUCACAAAAGGUUUGCCAGGGUGUCGUGAUGCUAACUCAUGUCACAGUGUGACUCUCAUCCCCUUGCACGUCAACAAGCAGAGCGCCCAGGCUAGAGCAGAUGUUUGCUGAAACGUUGAUGACUUAGUUAUCACCUGGGGACAGGGGUGGAGGCCUGGGCUUUCACAGUUUCUCAGAUUUUCAUUUAAUCGCUUUCUUUUUUUUUUUUCCCAGUAAACCUACUUCUGUUUCCUACCCUCAAGUCAAUAAUAGUCUCAGCUAUUCUUUGUAUUCAGAGUUUUUCACCAACUUAAAUGUAUUUAGAAAUGUGAAUGGAACUGAAGAGUCAAAUUUUUAGGGACUUAAUUAAAAUUAAAAUGCAUUUUCUUAUAUAGAUUUAUAUAAUACAUAUUACAUUAUAUAUAAUAUAUAAAUAUAGGAAAUAUUUAUAAGAUAAAUGUAGAAAAUAUUUAUAAAGAUAAAAUACCGUAAAAAGUAUAUAAAAUCUGGGAUGAGAACAGUAGACUCAAAGGGGCUGACCUUACGUUUGAUUUAGUGUAAAUAAACCAAAGGAUUUUUAAGGAAAAAAAUAAACCAGUCCUUCAAAAUAAGGAUUUAGCAUUUAAUUUAAUGAAAGAAGCGAUGGCCAGCGGCCGUCUGCUGAGCAGUGAGAGCCUGGUUGAGGAUGACCUAACAGCCUGCUUUGCUGUCUUCUCGGCUGCUGUCAGCUGCUGCGGUGGUUCCAGCCGCGCCUGGUUCUCAGUGGCCACACGCACAGCGCCUGCGAGGUGCACCACGGGGGCCGAGUCCCCGAGCUCAGCGUCCCAUCUUUCAGUUGGAGGAACAGAAACAACCCCAGUUUCAUCAUGGGAACAGAUGCUUAGUUGAGCAUCAAGGGGCAGGAAGACACCCUUCCCUCCUUGUUCCUUGCUGACCGAUGACCCUGGAACUCCACGGUGCCUCUCUGAAUCUCUGUUAUGGAUCCCCCACUAUAUUUGAUGGGAACACAGUGGGCCAGGGGCCAGUUUGACAGGGUAGCAUCACGCCCACAGACUACACCCUCUCCAAGUGCUACCUCCCACGUGAGGACGUGGUUUUGAUCAUCUACUGUGGAAUGGUGGGCUUCCUUGUGGUCCUCACACUCACUCACUUUGGGCUUUUAGCCUCACCUUUUCUUGCUGGUUUGAACUUGCUCAGAAAGCGUAAGACAAGAUGAAGAGCAGGUGCCAUUAUAAAUAUCAAAGCCCAAGAAAUGGAACUGUGGGCAGAGAUCAUGUCAGAAUCAAGUGGAUGAUGAGACCAAUUACAGGCCAUCUCUCUGCACAGCACAGAAAUUCUCAAUCACUGAAAUGAGUAACUGCAAAAUAAAUAGUUGAUUGUACUGUUCUCAUGCUGUAAAAGUGGACAGGUACUCUACAACGAAUCUGUUUUCUCAUUUUUAUCAAAUAUAUGUAUCAUCAAAGGUU